GACCGAGGGUGCAAACGUUGUUCGGAAUUACUGGGCGUAAAGCGUGCGCAGGCGGUUGUGUAAGACAGAUGUGAAAUCCCCGGGCUUAACCUGGGAAUGGCAUUUGGGACUGCAAGGCUUGAGUGCGGCAGAGGAGACUGGAAUUCCUGGUGUAGCAGUGAAAUGCGUAGAUAUCAGGAGGAACACCGAUGGCGAAGGCAGGUCUCUGGGCUGACACUGACGCUCAUGCACGAAAGCGUGGGGAGCAAACAGG
rnacentral:rRNA from 1 species